rnacentral:rRNA from 1 species
CAGUCGCCGCGGGAAUACGUAGGGUGCGAGCGUUAAUCGGAAUUACUGGGCGUAAAGCGCACGUAGGCGGUUUUGUAAGUCAGAGGUGAAAGCCCGGAGCUCAACUCCGGAACUGCCUUUGAGACUGCAUCACUUGAACGUCGGAGAGGUGAGUGGAAUUCCGAGUGUAGAGGUGAAAUUCGUAGAUAUUCGGAAGAACACCAGUGGCGAAGGCGGCUCACUGGACGACUGUUGACGCUGAGGUGCGAAAGCGUGGGGAGCAAACAGGAUUAGAUACCCCUGUAGUCCCUGUCUCUUAUAC